rnacentral:rRNA from 1 species
UACGUAGGGUGCAAGCGUUGUCCGGAAUUAUUGGGCGUAAAGAGCUCGUAGGCGGCUUGUCGCGUCGGCUGUGAAAACCUGGGGCUCAACCCCGGGCCUGCAGCCGAUACGGGCAAGCUAGAAUUCGGUAGGGGGGACUGGAAUUCCUGGUGUAGCGGUGAAAUGCGCAGAUAUCAGGAGGAACACCGGUGGCGAAGGCGGGUCUCUGGGCCGAUAUUGACGCUGAGGAGCGAAAGCGUGGGGAGCGAACAGG